AUAUAUAUAUAUAUAUGUUUUUCUCUUUUUUAUGCACCUUAUGCCAUGUAAAUCUGGAUUUUUAAAGCAAGUAGCUUUUUUUACUUUAUGCUGUCAUAGGUAAGGAUUGUACAAUUAGUAAUUAUUGUCUUUUUAGUACCUCCUGCAUAAUACAUACAUGUUGUAUAAUAAAAGUUUUCCUUUUUUAAUCAAAACAUUAGUUGUGCAGUUUUGGAACAACAUUAGUUGUGCAAUUAUGUAUAUAUAUAUAUAUUAAAGUUGUCUAUUAAAGUGUU